rnacentral:lncRNA from 1 species
CCAGAGAGGAACAAAUGAAAAUAAGACUUCUAAGCAAAACCAGGCAUACAACACUUGGCUAUAUUAUCAUGAGAUUGCUAAAUAUGACAAUUACCUCAUGAUGUGCUCGUUCGCUAACAGCGAUGAGAUGGGUCAUUAAGUUUAAUAGUGUCAGCAUGUUCUUACUACGCCAUUUGCUUUCAUUAGUACAAAACAAAGUUUUCUUAUUACAACUUUGCACGGUGUACAUGAUAAAGUACAUAUUUUGAGGUCAGUAAGCUCAGUGCCCAAGUGCCUCUUUUCCCUUCUGCCUCUUAUAAGGACAUUGAGAUAGGCAUGAAAAGUACAGCAGCCAAAGGCUGCACAGGACAGGUGUUCUCUGUCUUUCUCUUCUCCAACAAAAUUUCUAGAACUUACGGAGACUGAGGGAUAAAGAUUGACAGAGAAAAGAUUGACAGACUGCAGGGGGUGAGACUGGGGAAUUGGUUGACCCUGUAACUCCCUAAUCUUCAAUUCAAACUCAUUCUAGACACCAAAGACAUUGAGAUAUUUCUCCUUUCCUUUCUGGAAGCCAUCCAUCACACCUCAGGUAACACCUGCCAAUUUUUGGUCUCAUGGCCUGGGAAUUGGUCUUUGUGUUCAGGUAGCACCAACAUGAAUUUGACCCAACUCCAGGAGGCAGUGGAAGACAGGAGGGCCUGCCAUGCUCUGGUCCAUGGGGUCACGAAGAGUCAGACACGACUAAAUGACUAAACAACAAAGCACUAAUUCUGAGAGGUGAUGUACUCAGAGCCUCAGAACAACCACAUUCAAAGAUGGUUGGUAGAAGAGCAAAGUGAUGUAUUUGAUAUAAUAUUAUAGAAGAUUAUAAAGGUUCAGGGAUGCAGCAAAUAUAUAGUUUACAACCAGGACUUCAGUAAGACAGUGGCAUAUUUCAUGAAGUGCACAUGUCUAGGAUGCUGAAGCAUGCUCCCUGAUCCAGGAAGAAAGCCAGAGGAAAGCAAACUAACAAUAGAUGUAGAUAUUUGUUUUGUUGGAAU